rnacentral:rRNA from 1 species
UACGGGGGGGGCAAGCGUUGUUCGGAAUUACUGGGCGUAAAGGGUGUGUAGGUGGCUUGUUAAGUCAGACGUGAAAUCCCUCAGCUUAACUGGGGAACUGCGUCUGAUACUGGCGAGCUUGAGUGCAGGAGAGGAACGCGGAAUUCCAGGUGUAGCGGUGAAAUGCGUAGAUAUCUGGAGGAACACCGGUGGCGAAGGCGGCAUCCUGGACCAAUAUUGACGCUGAGGAGCGAAAGCCAGGGGAGCAAACGGG